rnacentral:miRNA from 1 species
AGCUGAUCAUAUAAGUUU